rnacentral:rRNA from 1 species
GACAGAGGGUGCAAACGUUGUUCGGAAUUACUGGGCGUAAAGCGAGUGUAGGCGGUUCGAUAAGUCGGAUGUGAAAGCCCCGGGCUCAACCCGGGAAGUGCACUCGAUACUGUCGAGCUAGAGUAUCGGAGAGGUUGGUGGAAUUCCGGGUGUAGCGGUGGAAUGCGUAGAGAUCCGGAAGAACACCGGUGGCGAAGGCGGCCUGCUGGGCAGUAGCUGACGCUGAGGCGCGACAGCGUGGGGAGCAAACAGG